CUCACACAUGACUCCGAAGCCGCUGCAGUGUAAAAUCUGAGAUGUCUUUUCUGGUUGAUUUUGUGCAGAUUUCUGACAGCGACAGCGAUGGUGAGGGAAGCAGUGUACCGAACUCUCAGAUGACUCGGACCAGGUGACCAAACCCAUGCAAAGCACAAUGACUGUGCUGAGGCGUUCCGCCCCCCUCCCCCUCCACACCACUCAAGGCACGGCGGCGGCCCAACCGCAAACUAACGGAGAUUAACAUGAGGCUGGAUGCGCUUGGCUCCCUGCUGCGUCCAUCACCAGAGGGGCCGGGAUUGCUGCGGCAGCUAGCCAAUUAAAGGAGGAGGAUGAAGGAGAGGAGUCUGACGAUGCCGACAUCGCCAUCGUAUGCAGUCCACGCCCUCGCAGGAAAACCAGCCAAUGAAAACGCUUGCAGCAGCAUCAGCAGAACACACCGGCACGACUGACAGAGCUUCUGAAGCAUGCAGUGGAAGACCUGUCAGUCAAGCUAAAGGUCCCGCCCUCCAACCUGCUGCUGCUGCACGGAGAGGCGGAACUUAACACCUCACACACUAUUGGCCAGCUAGGACUCUGCAUCGCUGACAUCUUUGUCUGGAACCAACUUCACAUCCCUCUUCACUGCACUACUGACACUGAGAUGGAAUCCACAACCCAACCACUAGUGGUCUGCAUUGGGAACCUGAAGAGUCUGUCAUAACCGCCAGGAAUGACCGUGUGACCAUUCCCGUUGCAGACGGCCUGACUUGCACAAUUGACAAGCUGUUCAAGCUUUACUGGGUCUGCAACUUGUUAUAUCCAGCACAGCUCAGCUCUGUUUUCACCUUCUUUGAAUAUGUUUAUGACGUUCCCAUCUCAACCAACAAACGAACAAAGGCACUACAACUUCUCUCAAAGCUUCCCAGCAGCCCAGUGAUCACUCAACAUGUGUUUAUGCCCAAAAUGUAAAUAGCUACUACAGACAUCAAGAAAGUAGUUUGGCAUCUUUGUCAUGUACACGCUUUGUCAGAUGCACAGGAUAUGAUGAUAAUUUGCAGCCAAGAUGGCUGUUCAAGUGUACAAGGACUUACUAUGUAGACACCACCUACGUAGACACCACCAGUCCACAACAACAGAAAUGGGAGUAUCUUUCAAUGACUCUUUUGAAUCCACUGACAUUCAGACAGCCUAUGCAGCUUCAAGUAACACCUGAAGAAAGAGCAUUUUGUGUCCCUUCUCAAGGACCGAUUCUCCAUAAUUUACCACUUAAUGACAAUUUAUCUGUGUUCAUGCUUGUUAGGAUUAUUACAGGGAAUUAUUUUGAUUAUCAUUUUGGCAACACUUUAUUUUAUCAUUACAUCUAUUAGCUCUAAUACAUAGUGUUAAUGCCUGUAUGCUGUAUAAGUAACUUGUAAGGCAUGCACUAAGCAAAAUCAAACAUACGUUAGGCAUGUAUUCGCAAAUGCCUUGUUCAUGCACAAUUUGGGAUUUAUUACCUAAUAUAACUUCAGUAAGGACCUAACAAAUGUUUGAUUUCGCUUAGUACAUGCCUUACAAGUUACUUAUACAGGCAUUAACCCAUUGAUGCUGGAUGUUGGGUUGUGCAACAUUGGCCCUGGCGCCUGGAGUUUUGUAUGGCAUCAGCACCCUUUUCUGCAAGUGCUUUAGGCAUCAAUGGGUUAACAUUGUAUGUAUUAGUGCUAAGCGAUGUAAUGUUAAAAUAAAGUGUUACCAUCAUAUUUUUAAAAAAUAUAUGUUGUAAAACUGGACGAUUGUGAAAUGAUAUGAUGUGGCAGAUGUAAGACCCAUUGAUGUAAUGCAGAGUUUUCAUUCAGAUGAACUGUCUCUUAACCCAAGGUACAAUGUCUUUUCUUCCAAUAUGUUGGAUCCUACAGUAUUUCAUAAGAAAGUUUUCAAGAGUAUUUAACACUACUUCGAAUUUCAAGACUUUUGGGUUUUGUAAUACACCGGUAAUGUUGUUAAGAGAUGAUAGUGUACGAGUCAUAAUCAUCAAUACUUCAUGAAAUUCGCAGUGGUGUUAAUU